rnacentral:rRNA from 1 species
GUGUGAAUUGCAGAAUUCCGCGAAUCAUCGAGUCUUUGAACGCAAGUUGCGCCCGAGGCUUGACCAAGGGCAUCUCUGCCAGAGCGUCACCGCGACACCCACCAGCCCACUCCCAAUUACUCUUUCAAGAGUAGUUGGGAGGUGCAACACUGAGUGAAAGUGGCCGUCCGAAUGGGGACCACCCAAAUGAUUUUGGGUGGUUAGAUUGGGUCGGCUGAAAUAGAGGGAAUUUGGCCGCCGUGGUUACACAGCCCGCGAUCAGGUGAUCAAAGGGGAACAACUCCUUGGACAAAUGUGCACGGUGCUGUGUCUCCCAGUUGGAUUCCAAAGCAGGUCUCUCCCGAACUGCCCCCGACUUAGAGACUCUGAGUUGGGGGGAGGGAGGGAGAUGAAGUCCCGCAUCAGACCUCUGAUCAGAGAAGACUACCCGCUGAGUUUAA